GUCCACGCCGUAAACGAUGUGCACUAGAUAUUGCGGGUAUUGACCCCUGCAGUGUCGCAGCUAACGCAUUAAGUGCACCGCCUGGGGAGUACGAGCGCAAGCUUAAAACUCAAAGGAAUUGACGGGGGCCCGCACAAGCGGUGGAUUAUGUGGUUUAAUUCGAAGCAACGCGCAGAACCUUACCUGGGCUUGAACUCCUGAGAAUCCUCCCCAAAAGGAGGAGUGCCCUUCGGGGAAUUCAGU
rnacentral:rRNA from 1 species